GCCCUGCUAGCUCAAUCGGUAGAGCGUGAGACUUUUACGAGCUUCGGUCAAGCGUGGGUUAUCUAUUUAUCUCAAGGCUGCGGGUUCGAGCCCCGCGUGGGGCU
rnacentral:tRNA from 1 species